rnacentral:ncRNA from 1 species
CUUAUCAAGAGUGGCGGAGGGACCGGCCCUGUGAAGCCCGGCAACCUGCAUUUGCAAGGUGCCAAAUCCGGCGAGAAAAUCGGCAGAUGAG